rnacentral:sRNA from 1 species
AAAUAGCCCCGAUUGAAAUGGAAAUCCUUUUUAUUUUUUGAAAAAAAAAGAAAAAGAUUGGAAUGGAAAGCGGGAAGACUA